rnacentral:lncRNA from 1 species
AGGGUCCCCAGGGCCACCCGGGCACCCGUGGCCAGGAUGGGGCACAGGUAUGUAGCUGGGUUUGCCCCCCCCUCCAGGGGCUGCAGCCCCCCCCUGGUGCCCCCCCUCCCCUCUGCCAGGCCCCCUCCUUUCUGUGUUUCAGGGCGAGCCGGGUCCCAGGGGCGAGCCGGGCGAGAAGGGCACUUGGGCCAGUAGCUUCCAAACCCUCCUGCGGCAGCAGGCCCGGCUGGAGGUCCUGGCUAGAAGGGUCACCUUGCUGGAAGCCAUCAUCUGGCCAGAACCGGAGCCCGGCUCGGGCAGCGGCCCCCCCGGCACCGUGGCACCCGCCCCCCCCCGCAGCAAGCGUGGCGGUGGCCAGCCCCCCUACCGCAUCGUGGCCCCCCGCCAGCAGCCCCCCG